UUGCUUUGGCAGCACAUUUACCCAAAUUGGAAUGAUAUAGAGAAGAUUAGCAUGGCCUCUGCACAAGCAUGACAGAGUAUAAUAAAUAGCAUUAAUAACAACAA
ensembl:snRNA U6 U6 spliceosomal RNA